UACGUAGGGCGCAAGCGUUAUCCGGAAUUAUUGGGCGUAAAGAGCUCGUAGGCGGUUUGUCGCGUCUGCUGUGAAAGACCGGGGCUCAACUCCGGUUCUGCAGUGGGUACGGGCAGACUAGAGUGCAGUAGGGGAGACUGGAAUUCCUGGUGUAGCGGUGAAAUGCGCAGAUAUCAGGAGGAACACCGGUGGCGAAGGCGGGUCUCUGGGCCGAAACUGACGCUGAGGAGCGAAAGCGUGGGGAGCAAACAGG
rnacentral:rRNA from 1 species